UACAGAGGUCUCAAGCGUUGUUCGGAUUCAUUGGGCGUAAAGGGUGCGUAGGUGGCGCGGUAAGUCGGGUGUGAAAUUUCGGAGCUUAACUCCGAAACUGCAUUCGAUACUGCCGUGCUUGAGGACUGGAGAGGAGACUGGAAUUUACGGUGUAGCAGUGAAAUGCGUAGAGAUCGUAAGGAAGACCAGUGGCGAAGGCGGGUCUCUGGGCCAUUACUGACGCUGAGGAGCGAAAGCGUGGGGAGCGAACAGG
rnacentral:rRNA from 1 species